AUCGACAUCCUUUCCACCACACACCUUGCAUCACCUAUCAACCAAUGCCCAUGUGCAAACUUGUGGACCAGCUACCAAUUAAACAUCCUCUUCCAUGGCAAUUCUAAAGGUAGCAUUCAUGCCAUGAGGAUUUUCAUCUUUCUUACAAAGAAAUAUCAUCACACUGUUCUAGGGAGACAACAUUGGCAGCAUUUUCUUUGGAGCUUCCA
rnacentral:lncRNA from 1 species